rfam:Streptococcus dysgalactiae subsp. equisimilis RE378 DNA, complete genome.
ACUAUCGUGAGUAGUGGGGAGAGGAAGGGAUAGUGAAAUCGUGGCUCUACAAACAGAAACGUGAUAUCAAGGCGUAUAUAGCGGAUGAGUCUAAAGUCCAAAAAAGUAGUAGUAACCUAUAGGCGUAAAUAUGAGGGUAAACGAGGAAAGAUAUACAC